GGCUUGAUGAAAAAUAAUUUUAAGUCGAUCUGCCCAAUGAUGUAGUGUUUAAUGGCUGCAGUAUAAUUGACUGUACAAAGGUAGCAUAAUCGAUUGUUUUUUAAUUGAAAACUGGAAUGAAAGAAUUAAUGAGAUAUAUACUGUCUCAUAUAUAUUUAUUAAAUUUAAAUUUUUAGUAAAAAUGCUUAAAUAAGUUUAUGGGACGAUAAGACCCUAUAGAAUUUUAUAUUAAUAUAUAUAAAAUGAUUAAAGUUUUUUAUAUAUUAAUAUUUAGUUGGGAGGAUUGGUAAAUUUAUUGAACUUUAUUUUUAAUUAAAACUUUGAUUUAAGAAUUUAUUAAUGAUCUUGUAUUAUAAAUGAAAAGAUUAAAUUACCUUAGGGAUAACAGCGUAAUAUCUUUUGAAAGAUCAUAUUGAUAAAGAUGAUUGCGACCUCGAUGUUGAAUUAAGAUAAAUUUUAAACGGAGAAGUUUAAUGAUUAAGUCUGUUCGACUUUUAAAAUCUU
rnacentral:rRNA from 1 species